CGGGGGGCAGCAGUGGGGAAUCUUGCGCAAUGGGCGAAAGCCUGACGCAGCAACGCCGCGUGAGGGAAGAAGGCCUUCGGGUUGUAAACCUCUUUCAGGAGGGACGAAGCCACCAGGGUUAAUAGCCUAUGGGGUGACGGUACCUUCAGAAGAAGCCCCGGCUAACUACGUGCCAGCAGCCGCGGUAAUACGUAGGGGGCAAGCGUUGUCCGGAAUUAUUGGGCGUAAAGCGCGUGUAGGCGGCUUGGUAAGUCUGGCGUGAAAUCUUGGGGCUCAACCCCAAGCCUGCGUUGGAAACUGCCUCGCUCGAGUCCGGGAGAGGAAAGCGGAAUUCCCAGUGUAGCGGUGAAAUGCGCAGAUAUUGGGAAGAACACCGGUGGCGAAGGCGGCUUUCUGGAACGGUACUGACGCUGAGACGCGAAAGCGUGGGGAGCAAACAGGAUUAGAUACCCGAGU
rnacentral:rRNA from 1 species